rnacentral:rRNA from 1 species
GGGGAAUAUUGCACAAUGGGGGAAACCCUGAUGCAGCGACGCCGCGUGGAGGAAGAAGGUCUUCGGAUUGUAAACUCCUGUUGUUGAGGAAGAUAAUGACGGUACUCAACAAGGAAGUGACGGCUAACUACGUGCCAGCAGCCGCGGUAAAACGUAGGUCACAAGCGUUGUCCGGAAUUACUGGGUGUAAAGGGAGCGCAGGCGGGCGAUCAAGUUGGAAGUGAAAUCCAUGGGCUCAACCCAUGAACUGCUUUCAAAACUGGUCGUCUUGAGUAGUGCAGAGGUAGGCGGAAUUCCCGGUGUAGCGGUGGAAUGCGUAGAUAUCGGGAGGAACACCAGUGGCGAAGGCGGCCUACUGGGCACCAACUGACGCUGAGGCUCGAAAGUGUGGGUAGCAAACAGGAUUAGAUACCCUGGUAGUCCACACCGUAAACGAUGAUUACUAGGUGUUGGAGGAUUGACCCCUUCAGUGCCGCAGUUAACACAAUAAGUAAUCCACCUGGGGAGUACGACCGCAAGGUUGAAACUCAAAGGAAUUGACGGGGGCCCGCACAAGCAGUGGAGUAUGUGGUUUAAUUCGACGCAACGCGAAGAACCUUACCAAGUCUUGACAUCCUGCGACGAUGCUGGAAACAGUAUUUUCCUUCGGGACGCAGAGACAGGUGGUGCAUGGUUGUCGUCAGCUCGUGUCGUGAGAUGUUGGGUUAAGUCCCGCAACGAGCGCAACCCUUACUGUCAGUUACUACGCAAGAGGACUCUGGCAGGACUGCCGUUGACAAAACGGAGGAAGGUGGGGAUGACGUCAAAUCAUCAUGCCCUUUAUGACUUGGGCUACACACGUACUACAAUGGCGUUAAACAAAGAGAAGCAAGACCGCGAGGUGGAGCAAAACUCAGAAACAACGUCCCAGUUCGGACUGCAGGCUGCAACUCGCCUGCACGAAGUCGGAAUUGCUAGUAAUCGUGGAUCAGCAUGCCACGGUGAAUACGUUCCCG